UUCCGUCGGUGAACCUGCGGAAGGAUCAUUCACACGAUUCCACAUUACUUCACUGUGAACAACGUUCUGUGAUGCUUGGUCAUGAGAUUGGCGUCUCGUGGCUGAUCAUCGUGGGUGAUGGACCAGAUCGGGACUGUCUUCCCCUUCUGAAUCUGUCAUCAUCUCUUUCGAAUUCUGAUUCCUAUUCUUACAUUCCAUCUCAGCUUCGGGCUGAUUAUUCUUCACAACUUUCAGCGAUGGAUGCCUCGGUUCGAACAACGAUGAAGGGCGCAGCGAAGUGUGAUAAACAUUGUAAAUUGCAGAAUUCCGCGAACCAACAGAACUUUGAACGCAUUCUGCGCUUUCAGGAUAUGCCUGAAAGCAUGCCUACUUCAGAGCUUCAUUGUUUCUAUGUGCCCGGCCUCGCAUUCGUAGGGAGCCGUGGCGCGUCUUUGUGCAUUAGCACGCUGCCUGACGCCGCUGCUGAUGCAUUGAAUUGAUCGGUGCUGCUUCGAGCAAGGAACAAUUUGAGCGCCUCGUGCACUUAUGUGUUUCUCUGCCGGAAAUCGCACCAUCGCAAGUUUCUGGCGAAAUCUCGCCCCAAGCAUGAAGUUAGGUCAGGAAACCCGCUGAAUUUAAGCAUAUC
rnacentral:rRNA from 1 species